rnacentral:rRNA from 1 species
UACGUAGGGUGCAAGCGUUGUCCGGAAUUAUUGGGCGUAAAGAGCUCGUAGGCGGUCUGUCGCGUCGGCUGUGAAAACCCGGGGCUCAACCCCGGGCCUGCAGUCGAUACGGGCAGACUAGAGUGUGGUAGAGGAUGGUGGAAUUCCCGGUGUAGCGGUGAAAUGCGUAGAGAUCGGGAGGAACACCAGUGGCGAAGGCGGCCAUCUGGAUCAACACUGACGCUGAGGCACGAAAGCGUGGGGAGCAAACAGG